rnacentral:lncRNA from 1 species
GUGAUUUCAAAAGCCCACACCUGGACCAAGUUCUCUCUGUCUCUCUCUCUGUCUCUCUCUGUCUCUAUCUCUGUCUCUCUUUGACACACUUUGCACUCCCCUCUCCCCUUAUGCCUAAUUCUUACCAGUGAUGUCAUUUCCAGCUGUUUAGAUUCAGGACUUUGUGGUUGGUUUUCUUUUCCCACAUGACUGGAAGUAGAGAACCUUAGCAAACAAGAGGAACGAAGUUAGCCCUGUGUCAUCUUUUGAAGAGUGUUAUGCAAGAGAGCAACUUCCCUUACAAAGUGACGGGAAUCGAAUCCAGGAUCACGCAUACCAGGCAUUCUUGCCUUCGGCUUGUCUGGUGUUCUUCUCAAAGUUAGCCUUGGCUUCCGCGUUAUUGGAGGAAGCCCCCAGCAGUGAGACGCCUGCUCUCUCACCAUAUCAUAAGUGUCUGCUUCUACUUUGCCUUAUCACUACUGAUGUUACUCAGAAUCACUGGACCAAGGGACUCUGUACCACUCUCUGGAAUUGAGCAUUGCAGUUUUGAGUAAGGAAUGUGACGGGGUGAAAACUGUAUUUUAAGAAAGUGCUUACUACACAAACAUGAGAGCUUGAAUGGAGCCACACCACUCAUUUGAAAAGCCAGCUGCAGCAGCAACUCUGGAAAAAUGGGGCAGGGGGACCCCUGGGACUUACUGGCCAGUCCAUUUAGCAAAUUAGUGAGCUCUAAUUGCAUACACUUGCACACAGGUGUAUGUGUGUGUGUACAGAAAACGGUAUUCUGAAUUGAAAAGUCCACUCGUGGCUUAUGCGCUGAGUUGGAGCACCAUGGCCGUACGUUGUGCCUACUCUGGUCUAGAUGAUUCAUGGGACUUUCCUCAUGGAUGCUUCCUUCUUGCACACCAAUAAGCCCAGCAGAAGCUAGAGAAACACUGUCUAUCAGAAGUGCAUCGAGUAGGGCGAGUCUGCUGAACAUCAGAGCUGGACAGCACAGUCCUCUGUAGUGUUGGUUGUCCCUCUGUAACCACGUGGCUUGCUGUCGCUGCCCAGCAUCUUGGAGGGUUGGACCACAUCUUGCUACCUCGUGGGAAGCUCUGAUUUUAAAAAUCAGUGUGUAUUUCCGACUGGAUGUGCAUCUUGCUUCCACCACUGUGAAGUCAGAAAGCAUGUGUCUAGUGUCUAAGCAGUAGACUGUGUCUAUUUAAUCCUCUCAUUGACUCCCGUUUGACUGACAAGGGAACUGGAGCUUUUAGGGGACAUAUUAUCUAUUACACAACCAAGAAGUGGUCAAACUUGUCUCUGAAGUAAAAAAAAAAAAAAAAAAAAAAGGUCUACUUUAUCACUGUGCCAUUUAGGUAUCACCCACCAUCACGGGGGUGGGGGGUGGAGUGCCCUGUUAGAAUGUGCUUAGGUACCAGGGUUCAAAUUUGGAGUCAGAUUCUCCAGUCCCACCUCCAGAGAUUCUGUCCCAGUGGUGUGAUGGCAAGA